UCAUCAAUUUGAAUUCUUAUUUUUUUGCACUCCCCAAAAAAAUAAUUCACACUUUUUCCCCGCCAUUUAUUUUAUCUCUUUUCAAUUUCUUUUUCCUUUCUUCUCAAAUCUGUUCUCUUUUUUCUUAGGGCUCAAAACUUCUUCUGUACUUGGUUUUUUCAAAUGAAACCCUAAUUCCUUUUAAAUUACCCUUAGAUUCCUACAAUAUUUACUAAAAGAACCACUCAUUUUCAACUCUCCGAACAAAAAUGGAGGUAGUUAAUAGAGAGAGUGUGCUUUUCAUGUGGGGAUAUUUACCUGGACCGUUACCGCAACGAGCUCCGCUUGUAUCGCCGGUUCUUGUGCCGAUUCCGGAUUCCAUUGACCAUUCUUGGACCGACGUAUGCGGUGGCGGUUGUGGAUUCGCCAUGGCCAUUUCUGGUUGUUUUUCCUAUCUCUCUUUUUCUCGUUGGCUUUCCUCCCCUUCUUUCCCUGAUUUUAAAUUUUAUUUCUUAUAAAAAUAUUUAAAUUUUUGGUAAUGUAAUUGCGGCUUUUGGGGUGGUUGUUAGAUUUUGUACAUUUUGAUCUGUCUGGUUGGCUAGAAAAUGUAAAAGGACUGGGCGUUAUAAUUCGAUUUUUUCGUUGUUUUCAUUUUUGUUUUGUCAUGAAGUCAACUCACUUGUCUCAAAUUAGCUAUGUUGAGUUCCUUCCUGCUCUUUUUAUAUACUGGUUUUGAACUACAGGUUUUCUCUCUCUGUCUCCGUUCUCUAUAGUUUAAAAAGAUUUCAACUUGUUAAUAAAUUGUUAACAGAUGAUUAGAGCUGUGAACCGAAUUUCAAUUUAAUAUAUUUAGUUUUAAAAAACUUUCAUUUUUCUUGUAUUUGGCAUAUAAGAUAAUUUUUUUUAUGCAAUAACUUCCGUGAAGCUAACAUUAUAUUCUACUAAUGGUGGUUUUUUAUGCAAACCACACACCAUCCAAUCCGAGGUGGCGCAGUGCUUGCCGCUUCCUUCGUUGCCUGUUUUCUGUGGUGCUUCGAAUCUGGAGCUCCGGCUGUUUGACGACCCAGCUGUUGGAGCUUCCAGGUCUUUGAACCGACAGCAAAUUAAUAAGCUCAGGCUAGUCGAAUUGCUGAUCUGCUUCGCGAAACUGACGUUUCAUAUCUGAAUCUUAGGGAUGAGGCAGAUUCAGUUUCGCAUGACCAUUUGGAGCCCUUGGAACUUCAUGCACAAGUUCUCCAAUACAACCCUGCAGCAUUUGUGUAUGUUACUCCUGGAUUGGUCAUUACACAAUCCCUAAAGAGAUGAAUGAGGUCUGCAAUUGGCUUACAGCUAGGUUGGGGCUCGAGCGAUAAGACUAAAUAUAGCCAAGAGUCGGGAAGCGAUAAAGGUGAAAAGAGAGAAAACUGCAUAUGUUACAAGUAGGUAGUAAACAAAAUGGAUUGUUAGGUUAUAUGGUAUACUUGGAUCUGGAUAUAUUUCACUACUUGGGGCUACCUUUGUAGAAAUAAGAGAUCAACAGAGUUUCUUGGAAUUGAAGUUGCAGUUUCAAACUGUAUUAGCUUUUUUGUAGUACAACAUCAAUAUCAAUGUCCAUCGUCUUAGGUAUUUUUUUAUUUGUUUACUUUUGUACAUUGAAUUGAAUGUUAGUGGUAUACAUUUCAGCUAAAUGUAACAUUUAUUUUGAUUGUUAGAUCGAUUUUUGUAAUGAAUAUUCAAUCAUUAUUUUAAUUUUAAUUUUAUAUUUUAUA